CCCUACGGGGGGCAGCAGUGAGGAAUAUUGGUCAAUGGUCGGGAGACUGAACCAGCCAAGCCGCGUGAGGGAGGAAGGUACAGAGUAUCGUAAACCUCUUUUGUCAGGGAACAAAGGCGGGGACGUGUCCCCGGAUGAGUGUACCUGAAGAAAAAGCAUCGGCUAACUCCGUGCCAGCAGCCGCGGUAAUACGUAGGGGGCAAGCGUUAUCCGGAUUUACUGGGUGUAAAGGGAGCGUAGACGGCUGUGCAAGUCUGAAGUGAAAGCCCGUGGCUCAACCGCGGAACUGCUUUGGAAACUGUAUA
rnacentral:rRNA from 1 species